rnacentral:rRNA from 1 species
GUGGGGAAUAUUGCGCAAUGGGGGAAACCCUGACGCAGCGACGCCGUGUGAGGGAAGAAGGCUUUCGGGUCGUAAACCUCUGUCAGAAAGGAAGAACCUCCCAAGUCCGAAUAGGGCUUGGGACUGACGGUACUUUCAAAGGAAGCACCGGCUAACUCCGUGCCAGCAGCCGCGGUAAUACGGAGGGUGCAAGCGUUAAUCGGAAUCACUGGGCGUAAAGCGCGCGUAGGCCGCUUUGUAAGUCGGACGUGAAAGCCCUCGGCUCAACCGGGGAACUGCGUUCGAUACUGCGAGGCUUGAGUCCUGGAGAGGGUGGCGGAAUUCUGGGUGUAGGAGUGAAAUCCGUAGAUAUCCGGAGGAACACCGGUGGCGAAGGCGGCCACCUGGACAGAUACUGACGCUGAGGCGCGAAAGCGUGGGGAGCAAACAGGAUUAGAAACCCGGGUAGUCC